ensembl:snRNA U6 U6 spliceosomal RNA
AUUAGCAUCUUUGUCUUUUAUUAGUGUAGAUUGGAAUGAUACAGAAAUUAGAAUGGCCCUUGCACAAGGAUGACACUCAAAUUUGUGAAGCAUGCUAUAUUAAA